UGCAUGUUGUUAAAGCUUGAGUGUGUUUACC
rnacentral:piRNA from 1 species